GGCGAUUCCAACUCUACUUCCCAGUCGCCUUACAUCCAGCAGAGUGGUCCAACGCUCUCUGACUCAGUUUCCUCGUUCAUAAAGAAGUCGGUAAUAGCAGCGGUGCUCAACUCCCAAGGCUGCUUUGUACACCAAAGGAGGGCACCCUGAGGGGGACAUUAAAGCACCUAAGAAGCGAGAGUCGUACUGAUCGGAGAUCUCUCCCAGGAUAACCCGAAUCUUCGCGAAGACGCACAGAGUGCUGCUGAACUGGAGAUUUUCUCAAUCGGCAAAGCAAGGCAAGUGGGAACAGAGGUGCAAUGAAUGUCACAGCCCAAAGUGGAGACCCCGCGGCUGCCCACAGACGACUCCUCGACCCCGCAGAGCCCCGAAGCCCGCCUGUCCCGGCGGCGCCGCCCUCACCUGCGGUGUCCCAUAUGGAGAUGUUGAAGGAACGCCACUGCUUCAGGUAGAAGGCGCCGCCCACGGUGCUGACCGUGUCCGGGAAGCGACGCUCCAUGUAGCGCUGCAGCAGCGACGUUUUACCCACGUUCAUGUCCCCCAGCAGUACGAUCUUCCCAUCCGGCUUCCGCAUAGCCGCGGAGGAGAUGACCCCUGCGCUUCUCGGUCACCCGCCCAGGAUGCCAGGGGACGCGGACCCCGGCCUCCAGGGACCCCGAACUCUAGUGGCCCUGGCCUGAGAUCCGAACUCGAUGAAGUGCCAAAGAGGAAGCGCGCCACAGCUCUGUACCGGAGUGUGAACGCAGCCCUGCGACCACGUGGGUGCCCGGCCGCCACGCCCACCCCACGCCCCCUGUCCCCACCCUUUGAAAGCCUGUAUGUCGCCAAGUUUGGAGCCUAGGACCUGGGUCCUAAGGUGAAAGUUCCAGAGCGCCUUCCUUCGGACGCUCCAGUUCCUCCAAAAGCCCGGGUAGCCGCGGAGAGGCCCAGGACCUGGUGUUUGUCUAGUCACAGGCUCCCUUGGCUCUGUUUCGCUUCCCAGCCUGUGCCCAGCGCUCCUCCUCGGUGCACCUUGGUUGCACCCACACAGGUGGAGAGUUGCCUGGCUGGGAAAGUCCCUUGGAAGUCGGCUAAGAUUUAAGGGAGAAUGUGGAUGGGUCGGGGACACCGGGAGGUGCCUGCUAGGUUCGCUUUUUACUUCUGCAAGAAACCUUGAAGGGAAAACUUGACUUUGCAUUUGCAGUGACUGCUAGAAAACAGCUUCCCUUUCUCCUAUAACAGAGAACCCCUAAAACCAAAAUCUUCCUCCAGGGGCACAAGCAUGCAGGGAGGCGGAGGAGAUAUUUGGGGCUGAGUAAAGCCCACUAGGUCCAGGGGAGGGAAGGGAAGGGAGACGACUCUCCUAGUAGCUUCUCCCUCUGCAGGUGCAGAGAUUCCACCGAGGCGAGAUGGCUACGCCUGCCUCAAGCACCCUGCCUGAGAACUGAGGACCGUUGCUCUAGGGAAUGCGGGUGGGAAAGUACGUUCUGGGGCGUGGAAUGCUCACCAGCGCGUGAAACCAGCUCCCUCUAAGCCCCAGGCUUCUGCUAGCCGCCCAUCCCACCCCACCGCAUGUCCUCCCAGGGAAAUUUAAGUUACUUCCAACUUACUAAGGGCUUGUUGCAUGAAAGUUACAGGGCCAGGCUGGAGGAGUAACCAGACGACAAGUCCCCAGAGGCUGAGAGAGAGAGAAAUGGGUUCUGUGUAAACAUCUAAGCUAGGAUCAGGGGGUGGCAAGAGUCCCUACCCCUAUCACCCUUCGAGGAUCUUCUGGUGUUGAGUUCUUCUAAUUUUCUCAGAGGUGAGACAUCCUAAUUUCAUGAUAUAAUAGCUGAGAGAGGUUACUUCCCAAUGGAGAUGUAGUUAAACAGAAAACAAGGAAAACCAAAUACUUAAAAAUAAAACAACAUGAAAGCCCU
rnacentral:lncRNA from 1 species